rnacentral:lncRNA from 1 species
UAUUCUACAAUUCGUUACACAUAGUCUGCAGAGCCCCAUUCAUACUGGAUAAAUUUUAGUCGCAUCCGGUCCGUCAAAUGUCUUAUGAUCUAUAGAGCCCUUUUGAUUUUUCUAUGGCAACAUUUGCUAUGCUGACGUCAUUGCCACGUCAUUACUGUCAGUCAGACAGAAAUAAAAGAAAAAUGGAUGCCGUUCAGACGUACACGCAUUAUUUGGAACUGAAAAUUACGUAAUUUAUCGACCUGCUGGCUUGUAUUUGUUAUAAAUCAUAAAAAAAUUAUGGAAAACAUCAUGAACAAUAAUGAAACAAACCGAACCUUUAGCUACAAUAAUAAAAUGACCCCAUGACGCCAGUGGAACUACGUGGUUUUCUUUCAUGAUGAUUUGAUGAUACCAUAAUGGAAUUAGCCAAGUUUUCGCCGUAUUGGGUGCUAGAUGCCCCUUGGAGUUAAGCCCCAGUGCCACUAUACUACCUUACCAGUUAUGUGUGGGUGUUGUAGUCCUAAGACUCCCCGGAGGUACAAAGGGCCUUCACAAGCUCACGCCACGCCUUCCUAUCUUCAGCAACCCUCGUGACCUCGCUCCACCAGCUCAAACCUGCCAGUCGCAGCUCAUUUUUCGACGGACCGCUUCCAUGAGUAGACAAGGCACCGACGAUCACGGCUUGCAUCACCUGUACUGCUUCGUAAUAUAGUAUGCUGAGCAUCGCUGCCAUUAUACUAGGAUCAACGUCCUGCCCCUUCCCCGGCUAUGUACAAAUUGGAACUCCAUGCCCCUGCAUGCCCCUUUGACUGAGCAACAUGUGUGUGCUCGAAACACAUUCAAUUGCAACAAAAUGACUCCCAGGCUGACCUGGCUCAGCUCUUGUAUGUCUGAUCUACAUAGACAAUGGUUUCAAUGAAAGAGUGAAAAUUCUUCUCCAUGUACAAUCACUUCCAACGCCUACACUGACUACACCAAAUAUGAUCAUCACUCAACGUGUCUCACAUCAAGAUACUUUUCAAAAGUCAUCGAGAAGAGGAACAUAAUAUCUUUUCCCAUGGUUUCCCGAAUAAUCCUAACUAAAAGUUACUUCUCUAUUCUAUUUUUCCUGCAUGGAGUGGCGCUUUUCCGUCUAAUGGAAACGAAAUGAACAUAUAUGCUCUGGGUUUUUUUUUGUUUUUGUGCACCUUUUCAAUAUUACUAAUAAAGCAUUUUGUGGGUGUUUCAUUUACCACCUUCCUUCAUAAUUUUGCUAGUGUGUGAUUCACCAUAUCCCUAAUUAUUAAAUGCAAUAGCUACUGCAAUCUGUUCACUGAUGGGAAUCAUUUCAUGUUAACACAGCUCUGAAUACUAUCUUAUAUAAUGACUCAGACUGACUGUCAAUAAAAAUAUUCCUAGCUAUAAGCUUGCCUGAGAUUAAUGAAUGGUGUGCC